rnacentral:rRNA from 5 species
GAUGAACGCUGGCGGCGUGCUUAACACAUGCAAGUCGAACGAACCUUCGGGUUAGUGGCGGACGGGUGAGUAACGCGUGGGAAUCUGCCCUCAGGAGGGGGAUAACGGCCGGAAACGGCCGCUAAUACCCCAUAUGCCGAGAGGUGAAAUGAAUUUCGCCUGAGGAUGAGCCCGCGUCUGAUUAGCUAGUUGGUGGGGUAAUGGCCCACCAAGGCGACGAUCAGUAGCUGGUCUGAGAGGAUGAUCAGCCACACUGGGACUGAGACACGGCCCAGACUCCUACGGGAGGCAGCAGUGGGGAAUUUUCCGCAAUGGGCGAAAGCCUGACGGAGCAACGCCGCGUGAGGGAUGAAGGCCUCUGGGCUGUAAACCUCUUUUCUCAAGGAAGAAGACAUGACGGUACUUGAGGAAUAAGCCACGGCUAAUUCCGUGCCAGCAGCCGCGGUAAUACGGGAGUGGCAAGCGUUAUCCGGAAUUAUUGGGCGUAAAGCGUCCGCAGGCGGCCUUGUAAGUCUGUCGUUAAAGCGUGGAGCUUAACUCCAUUUAAGCGAUGGAAACUACAAGGCUUGAGUGUGGUAGGGGCAGAGGGAAUUCCCGGUGUAGCGGUGAAAUGCGUAGAUAUCGGGAAGAACACCAGUGGCGAAGGCGCUCUGCUGGGCCAUAACUGACGCUCAUGGACGAAAGCCAGGGGAGCGAAAGGGAUUAGAUACCCCUGUAGUCCUGGCCGUAAACGAUGAACACUAGGUGUCGGGGGAAUCGACCCCCUCGGUGUCGUAGCUAACGCGUUAAGUGUUCCGCCUGGGGAGUACGCACGCAAGUGUGAAACUCAAAGGAAUUGACGGGGGCCCGCACAAGCGGUGGAGUAUGUGGUUUAAUUCGAUGCAACGCGAAGAACCUUACCAGGGUUUGACAUCCUGCGAAUCCCUUGGAAACGAGGGAGUGCCUUCGGGAGCGCAGAGACAGGUGGUGCAUGGCUGUCGUCAGCUCGUGUCGUGAGAUGUUGGGUUAAGUCCCGCAACGAGCGCAACCCACGUCUUUAGUUGCCAGCAUUCAGUUGGGCACUCUAGAGAGACCGCCGGUGAUAAACCGGAGGAAGGUGUGGAUGACGUCAAGUCAUCAUGCCCCUUACAUCCUGGGCUACACACGUACUACAAUGCUACGGACAAAGGGUUGCAAGCUCGCGAGAGUUAGCUAAUCCCAUAAACCGUGGCUCAGUUCAGAUCGUAGGCUGCAACUCGCCUACGUGAAGGAGGAAUCGCUAGUAAUCGCAGGUCAGCAUACUGCGGUGAAUACGUUCCCGGGCCUUGUACACACCGCCCGUCACACCAUGGAAGUUGGCCAUGCCCGAAGUCGUUACUCCAACCCUUGUGGAGGAGGACGCCGAAGGUGGGGCUGAUGACUGGGGUGAAGUCGUAACAAGGUAGCCGUACCGGAAGGUGCGGCUGGAUCACCUCCU